rnacentral:rRNA from 1 species
GACGAACGCUGGCGGCGUGCUUAAUACAUGCAAGUCGAACGGAAAGGCCCUGCUUUUGUGGGGUGCUCGAGUGGCGAACGGGUGAGUAACACGUGAGUAACCUGCCCUUGACUUUGGGAUAACUUCAGGAAACUGGGGCUAAUACCGGAUAGGAGCUCCUGCUGCAUGGUGGGGGUUGGAAAGUUUCGGCGGUUGGGGAUGGACUCGCGGCUUAUCAGCUUGUUGGUGGGGUAGUGGCUUACCAAGGCUUUGACGGGUAGCCGGCCUGAGAGGGUGACCGGCCACAUUGGGACUGAGAUACGGCCCAGACUCCUACGGUAGGCAGCAGUGGGGAAUCUUGCCCAAUGGGCGGAAGCCUGAUGCAGCAACGCCGCGUGCGGGAUGACGGCCUUCGGGUUGUAAACCGCUUUCGCCUGUGACGAAGCGUGAGUGACGGUAAUGGGUAAAGAAGCACCGGCUAACUACGUG